rnacentral:rRNA from 1 species
CCUACGGGUGGCAGCAGUGGGGAAUAUUGCACAAUGGGCGAAAGCCUGAUGCAGCAACGCCGCGUGAAGGAAGACGGGUUUCGGCUCGUAAACUUCUAUUUACAGGGACGAAAGAAAUGACGGUACCUGAAGAAGAAGCCUCGGCUAAAUAUGUGCCAGCAGCCGCGGUAAUACGUAGGGGGCAAGCGUUAUCCGGAUUUACUGGGUGUAAAGGGUGAUUAGGCGGGAUGGUAAGCCAGAUGUGAAAGCCUUGGGCUUAACCCGAGGAUUGCAUUGGGAACUAUCAAGCUAGAGUACAGGAGAGGUAGGCGGAAUUCCUGGUGUAGCGGUGAAAUGCGUAGAUAUUAGGAAGAACACCGGGGGCGAAGGCGGCUUUCUGGACUGAAACUGACGCUGAGGCACGAAAGCGUGGGGAGCGAACAGGAUUAGAUACCCGAGUAGUC